CGACUGCAGAACGCGAAGAACCUUACCAAGGCUUGGCAUAUAGAGGAAACGGCUGGAAACAGUCGCCCCGCAAGGUCUCUAUACAGGUGGUGCAUGGUUGUCGUCAGCUCGUGUCGUGAGAUGUUGGGUUAAGUCCCGCAACGAGCGCAACCCUCGUUCUAUGUUGCCAGCACGUAAUGGUGGGAACUCAUGGGAUACUGCCGGGGUCAACUCGGAGGAAGGUGGGGAUGACGUCAAAUCAUCAUGCCCCUUAUGUCUUGGGCUUCACGCAUGCUACAAUGGCCGGUACAAAGGGCUGCAAUACCGUAAGGUGGAGCGAAUCCCAAAAAGCCGGUCCCAGUUCGGAUUGAGGUCUGCAACUCGACCUCAUGAAGUCGGAGUCGCUAGUAAUCGCAGAUCAGCAACGCUGCGGUGAAUACGUUCCCGGGUCUUGUACACACCG
rnacentral:rRNA from 1 species